rnacentral:rRNA from 1 species
AGCGACCCCAGGUGCAGGUGAGAGUAACUCGCCUGG